AGAGUUUGAUCCUGGCUCAGAACGAACGCUGGCGGCAUGCUUAACACAAGCAAGUCGAACGAGAUCUUCGGAUCUAGUGGCGCACGGGUGAGUAACGCGUGGAAAUCUGCCAUUCUGUACGGAAUAACGUUUGGAAACGAACGCUAAUACCGUAUACGCCCUACGGGGGAAAGGUCCGCCGCAGAAUGAGGAGUCCGCGUCCGAUUAGCUAGUUGGUAGGGUAAUGGCCUACCAAGGCGACGAUCGGUAGCUGGUCUGAGAGGAUGAUCAGCCACACUGGGACUGAGACACGGCCCAGACUCCUACGGGAGGCAGCAGUGGGGAAUAUUGGACAAUGGGGGCAACCCUGAUCCAGCAAUGCCGCGUGUGUGAUGAAGGCCCUAGGGUUGUAAAGCACUUUCAAUGGUGAAGAUGAUGACGGUAACCAUAGAAGAAGCCCCGGCUAACUUCGUGCCAGCAGCCGCGGUAAUAAGGGCGA
rnacentral:rRNA from 1 species